rnacentral:rRNA from 1 species
AUUGAACGCUGGCGGCAUGCCUUACACAUGCAAGUCGAACGGCAGCACGGGAGCAAUCCUGGUGGCGAGUGGCGAACGGGUGAGUAAUAUAUCGGAACGUGCCCAGUCGUGGGGGAUAACGCAGCGAAAGCUGUGCUAAUACCGCAUACGAUCUAAGGAUGAAAGCGGGGGAUCCCAAGACCUCGCGCGAUUGGAGCGGCCGAUAUCAGAUUAGCUAGUUGGUGGGGUAAAGGCCCACCAAGGCGACGAUCUGUAGCUGGUCUGAGAGGACGAGCAGCCACACUGGAGCUGAGACACGGUCCAGACUCCUACGGGAGGCAGCAGUGGGGAAUUUUGGACAAUGGGCGCAAGCCUGAUCCAGCAAUGCCGCGUGCAGGAUGAAGGCCUUCGGGUUGUAAGCUGCUUUUGUACGGAACGAAACGGCCCUUUCUAAUACAGGGGGCUAAUGACGGUACCGUAAGAAUAAGCACCGGCUAACUACGUGCCAGCCGCCGCGGUAA